AGCAGCGCUGAAAACCACACGUCCUGGGCAUGGCUACCGUUCAAAAGAAGAUGGAGCACAGAGCAGGGGCUUCUGGAAUCCUCCCGCAGUUCUGCAGUCUCGUGGCGGGACUGCGGCAGCAUGAGGCUUGCAUGUGCAAAGGCAACAUGAGGACAUGCGGACUUCAUCCCUGAAAGCAGAGCUCCUGAGGUGUGCCCUUCCACAACCCAGCAACACCAGCCCCCAGUGCCCUGGAACUUUCUCUGGACAGACACAGCUUUGCCUCAGGCAGGACUGACCAGGACCUGAAGAGAGCUGGCUUGGGAGCUCUCUGGAAGGGUCUUGCAUCUAAAAACCGGAAACCAGAAGAAUGGAUGGUGAUCAGAAAUCUGUGCUCUUAUUUCCUGCUGACUAAAUCGGAUUGUCUUGAACAAGAGACUUUAUCGGUUCAUCUAUAAAAUAAACAUUUUGAGCCA
ensembl:processed_transcript Gm29856 predicted gene, 29856